GAGUUUGUGUAGCUCAGUGGUAGAGUGCAUACUUUGUAUGUAUGAUGGCCUGGGUUCAAUUCCCAGCCGUUUCA
rnacentral:tRNA from 1 species